rnacentral:rRNA from 1 species
GAUGAACGCUGGCGGCGUGCCUAAUACAUGCAAGUCGAGCGAACCRAUUAAGAGCUUGCUCUUAAGAAGUUAGCGGCGGACGGGUGAGUAACACGUGGGUAACCUGCCUAUAAGACUGGGAUAACUCCGGGAAACCGGGGCUAAUACCGGAUAACAUUUUGCACCGCAUGGUGCGAAAUUGAAAGGCGGCUUCGGCUGUCACUUAUAGAUGGACCUGCGGCGCAUUAGCUAGUUGGUGAGGUAACGGCUCACCAAGGCGACGAUGCGUAGCCGACCUGAGAGGGUGAUCGGCCACACUGGGACUGAGACACGGCCCAGACUCCUACGGGAGGCAGCAGUAGGGAAUCUUCCGCAAUGGACGAAAGUCUGACGGAGCAACGCCGCGUGAACGAUGAAGGCUUUCGGGUCGUAAAGUUCUGUUGUUAGGGAAGAACAAGUGCUAGUUGAAUAAGCUGGCACC